GUGCUGUCUCUGCUAGCACAUAUAUUAAAAUUGGAAUGGUUCAGAGAAAAUUAGCAAGGUCCCUACUCAAAGUAACAUGUAAAUUCAUGAUGCAUUUCCUAUCCAA